GGCGUUUAGCUCAGCUGGUAGAGCAGCUGCCCCAUGUGCUGAAGCUACAGUCCUCACUGCAGCCAGCCCCAGUUCGAAUCCUGCGAGUUGCCC